UACUGAACUAUAGAAGAGAGAAAAACCUCCACAUUCAACAGAGUUCAACACAAAACAAACUUUAUGUUCCUCAACAUGCUGUCAUUACAUCACUGUGUGUUUCCUCUGAUUCUUCUCACUCUCACAGGUGUCACAUGUGAAGACCUCAGUCCAGUCAAAGAUGAAGAGUCCAGUGUAGAAGGCAGCACAGUUACUCUGUCCUACAAAUACACCACAGGUGCUACUUAUUUCUUCUGGUAUCGACAACAUCCAGGAAAAACACCAGAGCUCCUGAUCUCACACUCACCUUCAGGGUCAGUAGGAGAAAAAAAAGUUCCUGGAUUGAAGAUUCAAGUGGAGGGAACAGAAAUCAAGAUGAGCAUCUCCUCUGCUGCAGUGACAGACUCUGCUGUGUACUACUGUGCUGUGAGGCCCACAGUGACAGGAAACACCAAAACUCUGUACAAAAACCUUUGGAGCAAAGACAACAGAAUACUCCACAACAUCCACUAG